CAGUCGCCACGGUAAUACGGAGGGUGCAAGCGUUAUCCGGAUUUAUUGGGUUUAAAGGGUCCGUAGGCGGAUCUGUAAGUCAGUGGUGAAAUCUCACAGCUUAACUGUGAAACUGCCAUUGAUACUGCAGGUCUUGAGUAAAUUUGAAGUGGCUGGAAUAAGUAGUGUAGCGGUGAAAUGCAUAGAUAUUACUUAGAACACCAAUUGCGAAGGCAGGUCACUAAGAUUUAACUGACGCUGAUGGACGAAAGCGUGGGGAGCGAACAGGAUUAGAUACCCGCGUAGUCCCUGUCUCUUAUAA
rnacentral:rRNA from 1 species